rnacentral:misc_RNA from 1 species
UACUCUCACACUUCCGAUCUUGCAUUGGGAGCGGUGGACUUGGGUUUGCUGCUUUACCGUAGCUUACCUCAAAUGGGUUAGUGCAGCUCUUGGUUGGACAUAGUACGGCGUGAUAAGUAUCUUCGCCGGCACCUCACUAGAGGGUGGCUGAUCAGGAGCUCUGUGCUUCAAACCGUCUUCGGACAACAUCUGACA